UAUUCUGAACAAUUUCUGGACAAUCAGGUCGUGAAUCAGCAUUUUGCUCACCGAUCGGAGCAUUCUCUACCAACUUGCCGUCGAGAAUCUCACUCUGCUCGAGCUUAAGCUCUUUCUACGCCUCUUCUUCACCUCCGGGCUCUCCUCCAAGUCGGAUAUUUUGCUCAUUUUCCGAUCAAAGUCGCCGGCUUUCGAACGGGUCGUCGCCGAGAAGAACGACUCGUUCUUGAAAAUCAUCCUCGGCC